GUGCUUGCUUUGGCAGUACAUAUACUAAAAUUGGAACGAUACAGAGAAGAUUAGCAUGACCCC
rnacentral:snRNA from 1 species